UACAGAGGUCUCAAGCGUUGUUCGGAUUCAUUGGGCGUAAAGGGUGCGUAGGCGGCGGGGCAAGUCAGGUGUGAAAUCCCGGAGCUCAACUCCGGAACUGCACUUGAUACUGCCUCGCUAGAGUACUGGAGAGUAAGGCGGAAUUCCUGGUGUAGCGGUGAAAUGCGCAGAUAUCAGGAGGAACACCGGUGGCGAAGGCGGGUCUCUGGGCCGAUACUGACGCUGAGGAGCGAAAGCGUGGGGAGCGAACAGG
rnacentral:rRNA from 1 species